rnacentral:rRNA from 1 species
UACAGAGGGUGCAAGCGUUAAUCGGAAUUACUGGGCGUAAAGCGCGCGUAGGUGGUUCGUUAAGUUGGAUGUGAAAUCCCCGGGCUCAACCUGGGAACUGCAUUCAAAACUGUCGAGCUAGAGUAUGGUAGAGGGUGGUGGAAUUUCCUGUGUAGCGGUGAAAUGCGUAGGAUAUAGGAAGGAACACCAGUGGCGAAGGCGACCACCUGGACUGAUACUGACACUGAGGUGCGAAAGCGUGGGGAGCAAACAGG